rnacentral:rRNA from 1 species
AGUGAACGCUGGCGGUAUGCCUAACACAUGCAAGUCGAACGGCAGCACAGUAAGUGCUUGCUCUUACGGGUGUCGAGUGGCGGACGGGUGACGUAUGCAUGGGAUUCUACUUUUUCGUGGGUGCUAACGUAGGGAAACUUACUCUAAUACCGCAUAUGACCUACGUGUGAAAGCACGGGUUCUUUGAACUUUUUGCGAGUGAAUGAGCCGAUGUAGGAUUAGCUAGUUGGCGGGGUAAAGGCACACCUAGGCGACGAUCCGUAGCUGCUCUGAGAGGAUGGUUCGCCACACUGGAACUGAGAAAGGGCACAGACACCUACAGGAGGAAGCAGUGGGGAAUAUUGGGCAAUGGGCGAAAGCCUGAUCCAGCCAUACCGCGUGAGUGAAGAAGGCCUUAGGCUUGUAAAGCCCUUUUGUUGGGAAAGAAAAGCAGCAGGUUAAUACCCCGCUAUAAUGACGGUACCGAAAGAAUAAGCACCGGCUAACUUCGUG